AGCAUCUAGCAAACGAUCAAAAAUGCCUAAACAUAAAUUCGUUUAAGCUUUUCCUGCACUAUAAAUAUGCGUACACACUACUACAUACUCGUACAUAGCAUACAAGUAAAUAAUUCGCUUGUAAUAGACAUACAUACAUAAUUACAUACCGAUAUUUAAAACAAGUAUAUCAAAAAAUCAGCUGCAAAAAAGAAACUCACAAUCGAAUCUCCUACCAGAGUAGUAAAUACAUAAAAAUAAAUAUACAUACAUAUAUGUAUAUAUGCAUAGUUAUAUGCAUACAAAUUAGUUAUACACACACAUACAUAUAUAUUGUAUAUGUAGUGCAAAAAACAUCAUACUUUUAAUAUGUAUACAGAAAAUAGUACCGUUAUAAUAUUAUGCGCACUGUGAAUAGCGACGAAAUUGAGAAGACGAACGAAAAGUUAUGGUGUUUUUUAAAUGUUAUAAUGCGUGUUGUUGUGGUAUAGAGAUUUUAUUUGCGAAGUAAUUGAAAUGUAAAAUAUUCGUUUUUGUUGGUGAGGAGCUUAAAACUGAACUUUGAAACUUCGUUGUGGAACAUCAAUCAGCAUAAACUUAAUUUAAUAUUAUUUUGCAUAUAUUUUUUAUUGCUUUAGUGACCUACUAGGUAAAAAAAUAAUAUUUUGUUAUUUAGAAAAUGAUCAAAAGUACAUUAUAACCUAAAAAGUUGAAUUAUGCUAGAAUUGCAGAAUCUCUGUUGUACUCAAUGUUAUUGUAGUUGAGUGACUAAAAAUAUUUCCCAAGAACUCUAGUGAAAAACUGCCGCUUGGUAGCCUUUGGCCGUAUAAAAAUAUGGCGUCAAUAUGUUUAAGUAGAAACGACUACGGGGGUAGCUGUGACCAAAUCUAUAACUGCUUGCUUUAAAAAAUAAAAAAAUAUAACGCAAACGCGUAAAAUAUUUUCGUAAUUUCAACUACAGUUUUUUUUUUUUUUUGCUUUCUCAAUUUGAAUAUCAAACUUUAAUUCGCAUUAAAAAAUAUCUAAGAUUAAAGAUCAAUACAAAUCAGCGAAUAAAAUGUCCAGCACUUGCCGCCAUAUUUUCCAAAUAAAAUUUUUAGCCCACAGACACAACGCGACCACCAUUUACAUUUAAUUGCUUAUUGUUAUUGAUAUUAGAGUUUUUAUUAAAAGUUCAUUUUUUUAAAUUUGCAAUUUGAAAUUUGUAAAAAAAGAUUUUAAUUAUUUUAAUAUAGAAGUGAAUAGUGAACAGAAAAAAAAACAAAAAUUGAGUAUUAAAAAAAUGUACAAGCAUGCGGCAAACUGAAGACACACUAGACUUAUUUUAUCAUAAAAAACGAAAACAAACUAACAUAAAAUCAACCCUGCGCGUCAUUGGCUUACGAUAAUUAAAUGUUUAAUUGCUGCUAGUAUAAAAUGUGAGCCAUACGUGCGCUGAAAAUUCUUCCAAUAUUGUUAGGUAAUACAAUUUUGUAUUUAAAGCAAAUUGCAUAUGAUUUUUUAUAUAAAAUUAUAAUUAAAAAUAGCAAUGCAGCGUAAAAUAUAAUGAUUUUAACAAAUUGCGCCACACGUUAAGUGCUUAUAAGAAAUGUACGCUAGCAAGCAACUGUAAAAAGUAUCUCAUGUCUAUGACUUAAGUAUAACUAAUACGAUUAGCGUGUUAAGGUGAUUGUAAAACGCGAGUGCAGUGAAGUGUUGUUGUGAUGUUGGUGGUGAAGCUAACAAAAAGAUUUUAAGGCAAAGGGUAAAAUCCAACAAAAAAGAAGAAUUGUGCAAAAACGCAAUAUCAUCUAACUGGCUAAUUAAAAUAGAUUAUUCUUAUUGGAAAUAAAAAGGUGAAAAUUGGGGAAAAGGUUAAUUUUCAGAUUGGAGUGACGUCGUAAUUGGAAAUUUAAAAUGUGGAGCCCAACGCACAUACAAGUUACUGUUCAACGAGCAAAAGGUUUGCUGACGAAAGGCAAAAAUGACACCAACAACUGCUUUGUCACAAUAUCGUUGGGCAAAGAAAAGUAUCAGACGUCGGUCAAAGAAAAGGCAGAGAUGAACGUCAGUUGGAAUGAGGAAUGCGAACUUAAAAUUCCCGACCAAGGCAAUCGUGCUGAACUCGUUCUGACCUGUUUGCAUCGCAAUAAUCUCGGCAUAGAUGAGUUUCUUGGCCAGGCCACAUUGCCACUCAAUGAAAUGGAUGUAUACGAUCGGCCGCGUUCCAAAUGGUUCAAAUUGGAGAGUAAACCCGGGAAGGAGAAAAAGAAUAAAGAGCGCGGUGAGCUGGAAGCGCGCAUAACCUUCAUUGUCAAAUCCGGCUCAUUGACCGAUCUGAGCAAGAAGGAAAAACACAAGUCUUCCAUUGGCCAACUGGCCUCUUCCGUGGGUGGCAGUUUGCUCUCAAUAGGCACAAUAGAAAAGCGCAAAGGCAUUAAGAAGUUCGCUAAAUCGAUUGGUUCGAAAAUGCAUUUGCACAGCAAGAAGAAGAACAAGGAUGGCGAUGAUGUAUCCAAUUUCAGUGGAUCAUUUGCAAGCAUUGGCACGCCGAACAGUUCGAAUGGCGGAAGUCGUCGUUACGGGCAACGUGCUGGUGAAGCUGAUCCCGGUGUGAUCAGUGAGGACGAGGAUGAAUUUGUCUUUGACAAUUUGUCACACAAAAGUUCAGCAAGUUCGUUGAAUAUACGGUCGAGUUUACAACCACCCACACAAAAUUUUGCGCCACGUAAUCCUUCACCGUUGCUGAACAAAGUUGGAGGUAAGCUAUCAUCUAGAAGAGAUUUGGUGGAGGAGGAUCUCGCCGUAGAUCCCGAAUUAGAGGAGUUAGAAAAUGACUUCAGCGUCCGUGCACGAACACUGCCGCCGCCCUCGAAACCACCACGCACACAACAACAACUCAACGACAUGAUAGCCUCGUCGCCGAAACAAAAGGAACCUGCCCUAGACGAAUGGGAAUCUAAAUUAUAUAAACAAAGCUUACAGAUUGGCAGUUCCGAUUCAUUGAAACGACGUUCUUGGGAGCAAUCGCGUGUGCCCCUACCAACACCCAAUGAAGAGGCCGAGCAGAAAUUAUCAACAAACGAUGAUGAAAAUAUGAUUGCAGAAAAGAAAGAAGAACAAAGUUUUGUGAAACCAGCAAAUGGAUUCUCUAAUGUGAAAAAGUCACAAGUAAAUGGCGAGAGCGAUUCUUCAAUAUCGUCUUCAGAGUCCGAAGAGGACGAGAAAGAAAUUAUUCCUGAAUCGAUUAAAACCGAAGUCAAGGAAGUCGUUGCUAAAAGGCCACAAGAACUUAUUAUAAACCCUAAACCUGUGGCAGCUACACAAAAUAUUAGUUUACUUUCGCCAGAUGAAGAGACAAAAGAUUUCAAUGAACUCAACGCUUCGUUUGCUAAAUUCGAGCAACGCAAUAAAUCGCACUUAUUUGAUUUGGAUACAGAUAAGAAGUGGCACACACAGUCCUUCAUACAGGCAGAAUCUAAAGUGCCUUCUGUGCCAAAGGCCAUGCCACGUAACCGUGAAAGGGAAGCGGAAUUAAAGCGCGCUGAAGAAGAGCAAGAGCUCGAACUCAAACGUCAAGCUGAGGCGCAAUCUAAAGCUGCAGCUGAAGCUGAAGCAGCGGCAGCUGCCAAAGCCGCUGCAGACGCCGCAGCUCAGACACAGACUAAGCGCCAGCGCCAAGCUGAACUUGAAGCGGCUACCAUUGCCGCCGAGGUACAACGUAAUCGUCGCGAAGCUACUGAGCGCGAAGAGCGAAAACGCGCCGCAGAAGAUGCGCGUCUCGAGGAGGAGCUACGCAGAAAUGAGCAGCGGUUGCGCGAAGAAGAGGAGGCUUUACAAGAGGAGUUGCGCCAGCGUGAAGAGGAGAAACGACGCGAAGCCAAGCGACGUGAGGAAGAUCAACGCAUAUUGAACUUUGCCAAACGAUCAACAUCACUCGAAGAAGAACAAAGUCCUUACAGUAGCACGCCCGAGCAAUCACCAAGUGACAUUGUUAGUGAGAAACGCGAAAGGCGCUUGGGCAAAUUCAAGUAUCUGAAUAAGCGAGAGAAAAGCGAAGAUAAUCGCUCCACACCAAGUCCAAAAGCCAACGAACGCAUUAUAAUUGGACAUGAGAAGUCCACAUCACACGCGGAACGUCGCUCGGAGAUAUCCGCCGCACUGGCCAAAAAAUACGAGGGCAAAUCACGAGAGGAACUCAUGCUGAUCGCGAAUGGUAUGGAAAAUGAAGCGUUGUUGCAACGUCAACGUGUCAAAGAACUGGAGGAUUACCUGGAUAAUCUGUUGUUGCGCGUGAUGGAGACACAUCCAAAAAUCUUACAGAAUCCCUACUCACGAACGACAUCGGCAAAGAGUUUUAAAAAUUACAUCAAUAUGAAUGACUUUUUGUGAAGAGAGUGUGAAAGAAAGAAAGAAAAAUUUUGCGAAGCGCGAAGUAUUCCCAACCGAUUGGCAGUUCGCAUGUCAUUGCCAGGACAACGGCUGAACAUUAAUGAAAAUAUCACAGUUAUUUAUAGCAAAUAGUAAAGUUACAGGCUAAUUAAAAACAAAAACAAAAACAAAACGUUGAAUAAUUACUCAGAGCGCCUUCCAAGCAGCAGAAGCAGAAGCAUUCACGAAAUCGAUAAGAAUAUAAGCGCUGUUAACGUGGAGAAUAAUCACCGAGUUGCCUUAGAGUGAAAAUUCAAAGUGCUUUUUUAGACUAGAUAUAUACAUAUAUAAAUUUACACAUACAAAAAAAACUAUAGCAAUGUAUGUAAAAAAAUAUAGGUGUGAGCAUAAAAUAAUUUUGCAAUCAAUGUCAUUUUGUUAGUUAGAAAUAAUUUUGUUUCUACUAAUACAGUUAAAUUAUUAUAAAAAUAUUUUUUAAGUAAAAUAAUCACAAAAUGUAAUUUAAAAAUUUAACGGUAUUUAAUGCAGCGUACUGCAAAAACGUAUACACCACAACUCAAGAUUUAAUGAUUUUAAAUUUUACUCCCAGCAACGGAAAGAAGGCUAAGUUAAGUUACUUUAUUAAUCAAUAUUAGAAAUGAAAAAAUUAUAAUUUUUGUGAAAAAUAUACUUUUUUUAACCACAAAAUCUUAUGUUUAGGAACUGUUUGACAUUUGUAUACGCGAGUGACAGCUGUAAGCAAUGCAAUAAACCGGCAAAAACAAAGUAUAACUAUUUACAACAAAACUCGUACUACACAAAAAUCAACCAUUGCAUUUUUGUAUGUAAACAUUUUUUUAACACUUGUAAUUAUGACAUAAAAUUAAGUUAAGCAGUAAUUUAUAUUUACACUAAUAUUUGGACAUUAAAUUUAGUAUUGCAUUAAUAUUUGCUGCAAUUUAAGAUUAUUAAUAUAUUUUUGUUAACGCAUUUAAAUUUUUUGUGUUUAUUUACAUUUACAUAUACUCGUAUAUUUUUUGUAUCUUUCGGUCUGGAUAAUUUUUUGUUGCUGGUAUAAAAUUAUAUUUAAAAUAACUCUGACAUUUAUAUCUGUUAUGUGUAUGUGCUAAAUUGUCGCGAUAUUGUAAUUUAAAUCUAA